rnacentral:rRNA from 1 species
UGGGGAAUUUUGGACAAUGGGCGAAAGCCUGAUCCAGCAAUGCCGCGUGUGUGAAGAAGGCCUUCGGGUUGUAAAGCACUUUUGUCCGGAAAGAAAUCCUUGGCUCUAAUACAGUCGGGGGAUGACGGUACCGGAAGAAUAAGCACCGGUUAACUACGUGCCAGCAGCCGCGGUAAUACGUAGGGUGCAAGCGUUAAUCGGAAUUACUGGGCGUAAAGCGUGCGCAGGCGGUUUGCUAAGACCGAUGUGAAAUCCCCGGGCUCAACCUGGGAACUGCAUUGGUGACUGGCAGGCUAGAGUAUGGCAGAGGGGGGUAGAAUUCCACGUGUAGCAGUGAAAUGCGUAGAGAUGUGGAGGAAUACCGAUGGCGAAGGCAGCCCCCUGGGCCAAUACUGACGCUCAUGCACGAAAGCGUGGGGAGCAAACAGGAUUAGAUACCCUGGUAGUCCACGCCCUAAACGAUGUCAACUAGUUGUUGGGAUCAUUUCUUAGUAACGUAGCUAACGCGUGAAGUUGACCGCCUGGGGAGUACGGUCGCAAGAUUAAAACUCAAAUGAAUUGAC